rnacentral:rRNA from 1 species
AGCCUUUCGAAAGGAUUAAAGGUUAUACCUGCCCAAUGUUAUAUUAAUGGCCGCGGUACUUUGACCGUGCUAAGGUAGCACAAUCAAUUGGCCCUUAAUUAGGGUCAGGUAUGAAUGGAGUUACGGGGCUUAGCUGUCUCUAGACUAUUUAAUUGAAGUUGCUAUAUAGGUGAAAAAGCCUGUAUUAAGAAAAAAGACGAGAAGACCCUUAGAGUUUUACUUAAAAAAGAGUUAUUUCUUCACUAGUUUUGUUGGGGCAACAUAGGAGAAGAACUAAACCUCCUAAAGGAUAUAAACCGAUGUUUUUAAAUGUGAAUAAACUACCUUAGGGAUAACAGCAUAAUUUUAAAAAUAAGUUUGUGACCUCGAUGUUGGACUAGGAAACUUAAGGGCUAGCCGCCUUUUGGUAAGGUUCUGUUCGAACUAUAAUUCCU